rnacentral:rRNA from 1 species
UGGGGAAUAUUGGACAAUGGGCGAAAGCCUGAUCCAGCCAUGCCGCGUGUGUGAAGAAGGUCUUCGGAUUGUAAAGCACUUUAAGUUGGGAGGAAGGGCAGUAAGCGAAUACCUUGCUGUUUUGACGUUACCGACAGAAUAAGCACUGGCUAACUCUGUGCCAGCAGCCGCGGUAAUACAGAGGGUGCAAGCGUUAAUCGGAAUUACUGGGCGUAAAGCGCGCGUAGGUGGUUCGUUAAGUUGAAUGUGAAAGCCCCGGGCUCAACCUGGGAACUGCAUCCAAAACUGGCGAGCUAGAGUAGGGCAGAGGGUGGUGGAAUUUCCUGUGUAGCGGUGAAAUGCGUAGAUAUAGGAAGGAACACCAGUGGCGAAGGCGACCACCUGGGCUCAUACUGACACUGAGGUGCGAAAGCGUGAGGAGCAAACAGG